GACGAACGCUGGCGGCGUGCUUAACACAUGCAAGUCGAACGGAAAGGCCCUGCUUUUGUGGGGUGCUCGAGUGGCGAACGGGUGAGUAACACGUGAGUAACCUGCCCUUGACUUUGGGAUAACUUCAGGAAACUGGGGCUAAUACCGGAUAGGAGCUCCUGCUGCAUGGUGGGGGUUGGAAAGUUUCGGCGGUUGGGGAUGGACUCGCGGCUUAUCAGCUUGUUGGUAGGGUAGUGGCUUACCAAGGCUUUGACGGGUAGCCGGCCUGAGGGGGUGACCGGCCACAUUGGGACUGAGAUACGGCCCAGACUCCUACGGGAGGCAGCAGCGGGGAAUAUUGCACAAUGGGCGGAAGCCUGAUGCAGCAACGCCGCGUGCGGGAUGACGGCCUUCGGGUUGUAAACCGCUUUCGCCUGUGACGAAGCGUGAGUGACGGUAAUGGGUAAAGAAGCACCGGCUAACUACGUG
rnacentral:rRNA from 1 species